GGAUGUGAGGAUUGUCUGGCGCAGUACUGUUAGCCACCCCAUCGCCUGCUGGGGUGGUUUUCGUUGCUCUGGGGUUCAGCAGGUGGCCCCUUCCUCCCUUACUGCUCUGGAGUUCCUGUGAUGCUGAGUUGAAGAGCCUGACCUUCAGCCAAGAGCGUCUGUACUGCCUCACACUCAUGUGAGAGCCUUCAAACCAACUCUCAAGGUCUGUUUAUAACCAAAAAGCCAACCAAACCCAGUGUCGUCGAGUCGAUAGCGACCCUAUAG
ensembl:misc_RNA 7SK 7SK RNA